rnacentral:rRNA from 1 species
UGGGGAAUUUUGCACAAUGGGGGAAACCCUGAUGCAGCGACGCCGCGUGAUUUAGAAGGCCUUCGGGUUGUAAAAAUCUUUUGUAUGGGAAGAAAAUGACAGUACCAUACGAAUAAGGACCGGCUAAUUACGUGCCAGCAGCCGCGGUAAUACGUAAGGUCCGAGCGUUGUCCGGAAUCAUUGGGCGUAAAGGGUACGUAGGCGGAUAAGCAAGUUAGAAGUGAAAUCCUAUAGCUCAACUAUAGUAAGCUUUUAAAACUGCUCAUCUUGAGGUAUGGAAGGGAAAGUGGAAUUCCUAGUGUAGCGGUGACAUGCGCAGAUAUUAGGAGGAAUACCGGUAGCACAGGCCACUUUCUGCCCGACAACUGACUCUUAGGCGCGAAAGCGUGAUGAGCAAACAGG